AAAAAUGCAUUUUUUUGAAAUCCAUGCCUGUAACUCCAUAGUUAAUAGAUAAAAAAUCCUGAUCCUAUGCAUGGUGCUGUGCUCACAUGAAUGGAUAAGGCCAAAAGGUGCCAGCUACAAAGCACUAGUGGGAUCUGUGCUAGUCAGGUAACUCGAACAGUUGCCUGGUCGUAACACGCAGAGCUAAACAGCUAUGGAGAAAUGUUUGAACAUAAUUCUUAACUUGACAUUUUGAAAAAUAAAAGGAUGCUUCAAGGAUAAGAAGUCUUGAAAAUCAGAGAAUGGCAGCUGCAAUUCACUCUUCAAAAUAUGACAUAUGACAUGUAUUAAAAAUGUUGGGUAAAAGUUUUAUUUGACACUGAAAGAUUAAUUUGAACAUUAACUGGCAUUUAUAAUCAACUCUAUUACAUUGUCUCUUUUCCAUCAUUCAGGAUUUUUUUUAACAAAUGACAGCAAAUAAGACUUGACUGAUGAUUGACUGACCUAAAAGAUUUAAGUAAGUAGCAGCCAAGCUACCCUCAGUCUCCUUGUGCGUUUGUUUCCCUUUAAAACAGAAAUCUGAUUUGCCUUGGCAGUCAUCUGGCAUGACACAGCACGUUUUUAUCUUUUAGAUGUGGGAAUUGCCAAACUGGAUCCAACCCUGAGUCCCAGGUUAUUGUUUUUGUUGGCAGUCAGCACCAUCUGCCCUCAAGUAAAGAACUCUAGCACAUAAUAUACAGGAUAAAUAAUCUCCACCAGGAGAUAGGUGAGAAAGCUGGAUUUGGUCCUGAAACAUAGUGGUAGGGUUUGUUGGUUUUUUUUUGUUGUGUUUUUGGGUUUUUUUGGGGUUUUUUUUAUAUUUAUCAUUAUAACUGUAUGUUAGCUACAUGUAUUUUUAAUUAUUUCUUGAAGAGAGAGUUCAGCUAUGUUUAUAAAAUACCAAACAUCGUUCAAAUAACUCCUAAAUUUGAAGAAUGCAAGUUCUUCAGAGAGAAUACAUGAAACGAAGUUUUUACUUAAGUGUCUGCUAAUCAAUUUUUAAGUCUCUAAACUCUUUGUGAAAUGAUUAGCCUAGAUUCAUUGAAAUACCUCCUAAAAUAAAAAUAUGUCAUCUA